CGCAGCCAGCGCAGCGCAGCGCAUUCGAGCGAUCUCAUUCGGAUGUAGACAACAAUCGAGCACAGAAGGUAGUCGAAUUGCCACACGGGGCAAAUGUGUGUAUAACUUAAAUUGUGCAGUCCUCAAGUGUUGUAAACCGUUAACAUAAAACAUUAAAGUACUAAUUAUAAUACUGUUGAUCUAUAUAUACAUAUACAUUACCUAUAAACGGGAUUGCUGCUAAAUUGUCGGUUGGAUACAAAAUAGGCGCUAGCUGGGGGCUACCUUCUAAAAA